UGCCAAAGGUCAGCUAGGAAGCAAUUC
rnacentral:piRNA from 1 species